rnacentral:rRNA from 1 species
UACGAAGGGGCUAGCGUUGCUCGGAAUUACUGGGCGUAAAGGGCGCGUAGGCGGACAGUUUAGUCAGAGGUGAAAGCCCAGGGCUCAACCUUGGAAUUGCCUUUGAUACUGGCUGUCUUGAGUUCGGGAGAGGUGAGUGGAAUGCCGAGUGUAGAGGUGAAAUUCGUAGAUAUUCGGCGGAACACCAGUGGCGAAGGCGACUCACUG